ensembl:lncRNA
GUAAAGGUGGGUUAUUAUAAUGCUCCUCCUCCCCAUAGUAAAGGUGUGUUAUUAUAAUGCUCCUCCUCCCCAUAGUAAAGGUGUGUUAUAAUGCUCCUCCUCCCCCCUAGUAAAGGUGUGUUAUUAUUAUGCUCCUCCUCCCCCUAGUAAAGGUGUGUUAUUAUGCUCCUCCUCCCCUAGAAAAGGUGUUAUUAUUAUGCUCCUCCUCCCCCUAGAAAAGGUGUGUUAUAAUGCUCCUCCUCCCCCCUAGUAAAGGUAACAUUAGUGCUGUUGAAACUAUUGCAUUUCUAGGGUUCAUAUUUCCUUAUCAAAGUGCUGAGUGUCAAAGACAAAAAUAAUAAUAAUUUUGCACUUUAAUAUUUGUUUGUCUUCAAAAUGAACAACUAAUCUCUUCCAACAGUUCAUACACUAACUUUGUCAAUAAGAAAUACAAUUUUAAUAGCAUUAAGAAAGAAAAUGUAGAAAAGUGUUUUGGGGUGGGGUGGGGGUGGGGUGGGGG